UACCAAACCUAAUCGGGAUUACUGGGCGUAAGCGCACGUAGGCGGUUUGUUAAGCAAGGUGUGAAAGCCCCGGGCUCAACCUGGGAAUUGCAUUUUGAACUGGCAGGCUAGAGUUUUGAAGAGGGUGUAGAAUUUCCUGUGUAGCGGUGAAAUGCGUAGAUAUAGGAAGGAAUACCAGUGGCGAAGGCGGCCACCUGGUCAAAAACUGACGCUGAGGAGCGAAAGCGUGGGGAGCAAACAGGAUUAGAUACCCUGUAGUCCACGCUGUAAACGAUGUCAACUAGUUGUUCGUUUCAUAAAUGAAGUGAGUAACGCAGCUAACGCACUAAGUUGACCGCCUGGGGAGUACGGCCGCAAGGUUAAAACUCAAAUGAAUUGACGGGGCCCGCACAAGCGGUGGAGCAUGUGGUUUAAUUCGAUGCAACGCGAAGAACCUUACCAUCCCUUGACAUCUACAGAAGAUUCUAGAGAUAGAAUUGUGCCUUCGGGAACUGUAAGACAGGUGCUGAUGGCUGUCGUCAGCUCGUGUUGUGAGAUGUUGGGUUAAGUCCCGCAACGAGCGCAACCCCUAUCCUUAGUUGCCAGCACGUUAUGGUGGGAACUCUAGGGAGACUGCCGGUGAUAAACCGGAGGAAGUGGGGACGACGUCAAGUCAUCAUGGCCCUUACGGGAUGGGCUACACACGUGCUACAAUGGCGCGUUACAAAGGGCAGCAAGCUAGCGAUAGUGAGCGAAUCCCAUAAAAGCGCGUCGUAGUCCGGAUGGAGUCUGCAACUCGACUUCAUGAAAGUCGGAAUCGCUAGUAAUCGUGAAAUCAGAAUGUCACGGUGAAUACGUUCCCCGGGCCUUGUUACAACACCGAAAAG
rnacentral:rRNA from 1 species